rnacentral:tRNA from 1 species
ACCUGGCUGGCUCAGUUGGUAGAGCAUGCAACUCUUGAUCUUGGGGUCAUGAGUUCAAGCCCCAUGUUGGGUG